rnacentral:lncRNA from 1 species
AAUUUAAUCUAGUCCCUUGUUUGCAGCUAGUUGUGGAGAGGCAGAAGGGGGAGUUUUUGCUAUGUGGGAGCCAUAAGAGGAAGAAAAGAUGGGAGGAUCUCAUAAUCUAACUGGGAUGGUCAGAGUGAAUCUUUGGUGUGGCCUCCAAGUCCCAU